rnacentral:rRNA from 1 species
UACGUAGGGUGCGAGCGUUAAUCGGAAUUACUGGGCGUAAAGCGUGCGCAGGCGGUUUGUUAAGACGGAUGUGAAAUCCCCGGGCUCAACCUGGGAACUGCAUUCGUGACUGGCAGGCUAGAGUAUGGCAGAGGGGGGUGGAAUUCCACGUGUAGCAGUGAAAUGCGUAGAGAUGUGGAGGAACACCGAUGGCGAAGGCAGCCCCCUGGGCCAAUACUGACGCUCAUGCACGAAAGCGUGGGGAGCAAACAGG